CAGUAACCUUCUGUGAGGUCUGGCUCCUGUCAGUUCCUACUGGAGAGGUGGGGAAAGAGGCCGGUUUGGAAUCAUUUAUAUCUUCAGUUGCUCGAACUCCUAAAACAAGCAAACAAUCCCAUUUCUGACAGUUUCUGUACUGGAAAUAGGUUGUGUAAUUUGACCAUAUUUGUUGACUAAUAUCUUGAGGCGAUUUGAGGAAUGAAGCUGUAGGCACUGGGCCAGGGAAAGACAUGCUGCGGGACUUUACGUUCUCAUAUCCCCCCAUGACUGGAAAUGAUGUAACCCAGGGUGAGGGGGCGGUGGUCUGGGGCUCUGCCUGGUGGGGUAGUGUUAGCUGGAGGAAAGGCAGAAGAAGAGAGAUGAAGGUAGAAAUGAGAGCUAGACUGUUCCUGUCCUGAUGACCUUGAAAGGUAACCUUGGGAGAAGAGACUGUGAGGGAGAGAGGAGUGGGCAGAGGAGUCCACACUUUGAUCCCCACAUAGCACAGGACAGAGUUUGGGGGGCAUCACUCUUGUUUCUGUUUCCACAGUCAGGAUCCGGGAAACUAGGACUAGAGACACAACCAUGUGACUGCAAGGCUAGCCUACCCAUCCUGGGCUAGUGCUGGGGCUGCCAUCAACCCCAAUGAGCAGGGACAAGCUAAAGGCUUUCAAGGCUCAUCCUCCUCUGAUGAGCCUUCUUGCCACUUCCCCGAAGAGAUUCUGACACCCCCAUCUCUCUCUGUAGAAUGUCCACUAUCUGUUGCCCCCCCCCACUUUAUUCUACCAGGUCAUUUCCCUAUGUCACUCCACCCUCAGUGGGGACUUCAGGAUGUGGGCAAGGAUGUGGGCUAGGUGCUGUGGAAAUAGCUGAUGUUUAAACACCAAGUCUCUAGAAAGCCCCCUCCCCCAUUGCUCAUAAUGGGUCAGGUCAGCUGGGAUAGACGCUGGGGGAUUUAGCAAAACACAAAAUAAAACACGCAUGUCCUUGUGGAGUUUAUAUUCAAACGGGAAAGACAGCAAAUUAGCUAGAGAUGCCAGCUACUUGAAAGCACUAAGGAGGGGCCAGCAAGAUAGCUCAGUGGCUAAGCAAACUUGCCACUAAGCUUGACAACCUUGGUUCCAUUCCCAGAACCCACAUGGCAGAGCUGACUCCUGAAAGUUGUCCUCUGAGCUCCCACAGACAAAAUAAACAUUUAAAAAAACAUGGAGGAAAAAAAUGGAAACAAAAAUUCCUGGUGUAUUUGAAAGACAGCGAGGAAGAUAAAAGGUUGAAGAGAAGCCGGGAGGGAAGCUGCAGGAAGUGGAUGAGAGAUGUAAGGGUAGGCAUGGCACGGAGGGCCUUGUGGGCCUCAAGUAAGGGACUGGUUACUUGGAAUAACACUGGCAGGCCAGGAAGACCUGCCUUCCCCUGGGGAAAGGUCCCUUUGAGUCUUAUGUGGAGGCGCAUUUUUGGGGUCAUUGGCUAAAGUGGUGAAUCCAGUGGAAAGAUGAUGGCGGUGAGGGGAUGGCCAUGAGAAAUGGUCAGCCAUGGUAUACACUGGAGCCCUUAGAACUUGCUCUUUGGCUAAAUGUGGGUAUGUGGGAGAGAAAGGGAUCAAGGCUAUUUCCCCCAAGGUUUUUGGCCCGUACAACUCUUGCAUGGGAGUUUCUCUAUUUUUCUUUGUUUUGGUUUUGGUUUGUUUGGUUUUUGUUUUUCAAGACACAGGCUUUCUCUGCGUAGCCGUGGCUGUCCUGGAACUCGCUCUGUAGACCAGGCUGGCUUCGAACUCAGAGAUCUGCCUGUUUGUUGUGUACCACCACAGACUUUCUUUUGUUGUUGUUGUUAAAAUAAGUUCUCACCAGGCUAGCGCUGAACUUAAUCUCCUCAUGCUUUAAUAUUUUCUGAAUGCUGAGAUUGCACGUGUGUCAUCAAACCCAGCUCCCCUCAACCUCUUGUGAAGGAGAAUGCUGCUCCUUUAAGGAUGGCACCCCGACUCUCCCCACCAUUCAGCCUCUAUCAUGAUUUCCUAACAUCUCGGCCAUCAUUCAUUUAUUCGUGUUUCUCAAGAAUCCAUUUUUUUUUGGUUGAACUUGUCCUCAAAGGCCAUCAGAGCCCUCUGCGCAUAGUGGGCUCUCAGGAAUAUUUGGUGAAUGACGACUGAUUAAGUGAAUGAAUGCGUGACUCAGAACAGAUGUGUGGGGCCUGUAAACAGGGGUGACCUCUCAGUACCCUGUGGUGAGAGACAGCACAGCUGGAGUGGGGAUGGAAGCCAGGCCUCUGGGAGAGCAGCCCUGCAACAUCUUUUCUCACUUCUCUGUAGCCCCAGGACAGGAGGAGGCCACUGACCCUGUCCUUGUCCCGUUCACAGGAAACUCCGUAUCUUCAGGGAAUGACCUUGGGACAUCUAGCUACGAGACUACUUCAUGCCCCCAAACUUCUGUUGUAUUCAGAGGGCCAGAUCCUCUUCCACCAACAAUGAAUUGAAAGCCUCCUACAUAAGGCAGAUGGUGAUGACACACUGAGGCUUGCUGAACCGAGGGCAGCAGAUCCUACAGGAACCAGGGCUUUUCCCGCUCUGGGAUGAGUGCCCUGGAACUCACUGGCCCUACCUGAUGUCUGGGACUCCUGUCUGCUCAGGGCCACACAGAGGAUGGAAGACAGAGCCUACCAUCCUGGCUCUUGUGUUUGCUACUUUAUGCGCGGAAGGAACAAGAACUCUGGAUGAAGGGGGAUGGCCCGAGACUCCUUGUGGUGGUGUCAACCUGACAAAAACCUAGAAUCCGCUGGGAGACAGGCCCCUGGAUAUACCCACGGGUUACAGGAAGACCCACCUUCAUUGUGGGCAGGAGAUAGUGGACUGUAUUUGUAGCUGGAGGGAGUGCUGGUAUUUGUAGCUGGAGGGAGGGCUGAGCACAAGCGUGCAUGCAUUCAUCGCUCUCCCGGUAACUGCUUCCACUCCUGAUGGCUCAGCUUCUCCGCCCUGAUCAACUGAAACCCUAACUGUGGCCCUGCUGUUGCUUGUUGUUUCUGGGGUGUCAUGAGGCUAGAACUCUGCCCCUCACCUCUGGGACAGGACACAAAGUCAGAGCUGAAACAUCUCCGGGAUGCCCUGCGGAACCUGUGCAGCUGCCUAGGCUCUGUGUCGAGCAGCUCCAACAGCACCGUAAACUCUGACUAUACCUUAUUUUGUUUUGUUUUUUUAUUUAUUUUUUGAGACAGGGUCUCAAUAUGUAGCACUGGCUAGAAGCUUUUGCCUAUUUUGCUCAAACUUCUAAAGCGUACCUGGCACACAGUAAGUGUUUAAUAAAGAUUGGUGUUGAACACUUCUGGAGCUGGGCAGGCUGAGGCUUUGGUUUCCGUAGUGCAGCAGAAAACAGGGAAACCAGGCACUCUCAACCCUACGUGUUGGAGUGGGAAAACUCAAAGUGGCAGAUGCUGUGCAGAGCGACUCACACACCUGCAGGAGGCGGGACGUGGGGCGGGUCUGGCCCAGGGCAACCGUGGCAAAGGGGACUUCCGGCUGCCCAGCCUCUGCAGCUCUUGAUAUUUGCUAAAACUGUUCCUACUGGGUUCAAUUUACUCUGCAGAUAAAUCUCAUUGCCAGCCAAAUGCCGUCAGGAGGAGUCACUCAGUCUUCUCGCUCCCCACUCCCCGCUCCAAGGCGGCAGCAUCCAGAUCCCUCUCUUUCUAUUUCGGUCCCUCUGGCAGCAUACCUCGGAUGACCUCCCUCCUCCAGCCUCCUCCUUUGGGUCCCUCACGGAGCCUGGCUUGGUUAUAUCAGCCAUCCCACUGCUUCUCCCUCAGCCACUGCCCCCUCUCUGGGCUCGACACAUCUUCUUCUUCACCGAGGUCAUAGCAUGCAUGGCUAAGGGUGUGGCCACCAAAGACGGGCUGCCUGAGUUCAAAUCCUGAAUGGACCAAGUUGGGUGAAGCCUUUAACUGCUCUGUGCCAGUUUCCCCCUCCAUAAGGUGGGGUGAUGAGGACAGUUUUCUUGAUAAGGAAUGUAUUUUAUAUGAGCAUAUAUUAAAUAAUAGCUGUGCAUCGGGCUCUCUUCUACGAACUUUUCCUGUAGAAGCACUUAAUUCCCACAAACUCCUAGGGGAAGGUUUAUUUAUUAAUUCACUCGUUUAUUUAAAACUAAUUUUAAAAACACGGUCUCUUAUAGCCCUCACUGGCCUUGAACUCACUCUUUAGGCAAGGAUGACCUUGAACUCCCAAUCUUCCUGAAAGUACAGGUGUUAGCCACUAUGCCCUGCUGCAAAAAGUAUCUCUAUUAUUAUUACAACCGAGGUAACAGAGGCACAGAGAGAUAUAGUAUCUUCUCCCGUGCUGUGCAACCAGA